UUGUCAGAUCUUCAGUGUUUCACAGUUUCACAAAGUGUGUUUUAUAUAUUUUCAGUCCUAAAAGAUGAUUGGGGGGAUACCACAUACUACAUCUCUGAAGUAUGUCCUGUGUAACCCUUUUCUCACAUCUAAUAAUACCUUUUGAAACACUGAAAGGAAUUAGGGGGAAAUUGUGACUCAGGUUUUUAUUGAGUUGAAUAUUGCUGGUAGGGUAUACCCAGGAUAUGUUGUGUUGGGUUCUAAGUUUGUAGAAGUGUUAGAAAUGUUUUUUGGACUUUAGAGCCAGUCAACUUGUGAAGGCAGUUUUUGAUGGUAGAGGAAUGAGACACAGGAGGUGUGAAUGCCUUCAAUACACUAUCCAAAAAGUCGAGUAUUUGCUGAACUUAAAUUCAGCAUAUUGGUAUCUUAGUCUUAUCUCUUUGUGACCCCGGGCUUCGCUGUCCAUGGAAUUCUCCAGGCAAGAAUACUGCAGUGGGUAGCUGUUCCUUCCAGGGAUCUUCCUGACCCAGGGAUCAAACUCAGGUCUCCCACAUUGCAAGUGUCUGAGCCAACCAGGGAAGCCCCCUGGCAGGUAGGUUUAUUUUGGGGCUCUGUAUUCUGUCCCAUUGCAGUAUCAGUUGUUACUUCUUUUUCAUUUCUUCCUUUGUUUUUAUUAUUUUUGUUUUUGGUUACACUGGAUCUUUGUCGCCGGGCACUGGCUUUGUCUAGUUGCAAGAGAGCAAGGGCUACUGUAGUUGCGGUUUGUGGCCUUCUCAUUGUGGCGACUUCUGUUGCGAAGCACAGGCGCUAGGCCCAUUGGCUUCAGCAGUUGGGGCACACGGGCAUAGUUGAUCUGGCUUGUGCUGUCUCCCCUGUCCAAGGAUCGAACUCAUAUCCCCUGCAUUGACAGGUGGAUUCUUACCCAUUGUACCAGCAGGGAAGUCCUCUUCCUCUUGUUGACUUGGGUUUUCUCUUUUUUUUUUUUUUUUGGUGAGCAUGACUAGAGAUUUGUCCAUGUUUACCUUUCAAGAGCUUCCCAGGUGGCACAGUGGUAAAGAAGCUCCCCACAGUGCGAGAGACCUGGGUUGGGAGGAUCCGCUGGAGAAGCGAAUGAUAACCCACUCUAGUACUCUUGCCUGGGAAAUCCCAUGGACAGGGGAGUCUGGCUGAAAAGUUAGUCCAUGAAACCACAG
ensembl:lncRNA